rnacentral:rRNA from 1 species
CAUGCAAGUCGAACGAUGAUCCGGUGCUUGCACCGGGGAUUAGUGGCGAACGGGUGAGUAACACGUGAGUAACCUGCCCUUAACUCUGGGAUAAGCCUGGGAAACUGGGUCUAAUACCGGAUAUGACUCCUCAUCGCAUGGUGGGGGGUGGAAAGCUUUUUGUGGUUUUGGAUGGACUCGCGGCCUAUCAGCUUGUUGGUGAGGUAAUGGCUCACCAAGGCGACGACGGGUAGCCGGCCUGAGAGGGUGACCGGCCACACUGGGACUGAGACACGGCCCAGACUCCUACGGGAGGCAGCAGUGGGGAAUAUUGCACAAUGGGCGCAAGCCUGAUGCAGCGACGCCGCGUGAGGGAUGACGGCCUUCGGGUUGUAAACCUCUUUCAGUAGGGAAGAAGCGAAAGUGACGGUACCUGCAGAAGAAGCGCCGGCUAACUACGUGCCAGCAGCCGCGGUAAUACGUAGGGCGCAAGCGUUAUCCGGAAUUAUUGGGCGUAAAGAGCUCGUAGGCGGUUUGUCGCGUCUGCCGUGAAAGUCCGGGGCUCAACUCCGGAUCUGCGGUGGGUACGGGCAGACUAGAGUGAUGUAGGGGAGACUGGAAUUCCUGGUGUAGCGGUGAAAUGCGCAGAUAUCAGGAGGAACACCGAUGGCGAAGGCAGGUCUCUGGGCAUUAACUGACGCUGAGGAGCGAAAGCAUGGGGAGCGAACAGGAUUAGAUACCCUGGUAGUCCAUGCCGUAAACGUUGGGCACUAGGUGUGGGGGACAUUCCACGUUUUCCGCGCCGUAGCUAACGCAUUAAGUGCCCCGCCUGGGGAGUACGGCCGCAAGGCUAAAACU